ACAUUCCUGGGGCGGCCGGCCUCUGCCCCCAGGUGGGCCUGCACCCACUCUAUCCGUCCGCCAGCAUCAGCACCAUCCAAGACCUCCCCGUGGCAGCUGCCUUUGUGGUCCCCACUCCGUCCGUACCAAGCCCCAGAGCUUCUUUCCUCACGCUAAGCAGACCUGCUGACACAAAAGUUCCCAUCACUCCCGGGCCGUGGCCUCCUCCGCCCGAGGCCCCUUACAUUCUAGAUCCUAGGAAAUAUGUGGACGUGUCCUAGAAACCAGGUUCUAGUCCAGGAGAGCUUGAGGCAGGCCCGCCCUUGAGGACCCAGGGGAUACAGCUCCUAGCUCUCAUCCUUCUCAACAACUUCUCCCGGUCUGCACCAGGCUCUUAAAACACAGGGACUCACUGCUCUCCCUGCUCGCUAGCCCUGCAACCAAGAUUCCAGUCCUUCUCCGACCACGGGCCUCUGUUCUCCCACGCUACUUCCGGAUCCUUGAGCAGAGGAUAAUGGCUAUUUGUCUCUGCCUCUGUUCUGGAGGGACUGAAGUGAGGUCCUCGCCAGCGUGGGGAGCAAAUGGUUUUGGUCACAGCUCAGACAUUUAAAUGUCCAGGCACCAGACCUUUGGAAUUAGUGAAAAGAGCAAAGGACCAUUCAAAGUCAGGAGUCCUGGUUUUCGUCCCAUCUCAGGCACCAAAACUUGCUACUUAACCUACUUCUCUGGGUAUAUAACAAAGUAGCUAGAGCUGCUUCGGGACUGUGUUGUGCUGUGGGCGCCAUCUAUCGGCCAAGAGAGGCACUGCCUCCGUGGUGCCGGCGUCCCAACUCGAUUCUGAAGUCAUCUCGUCCCUCCCUCAGCUUCGUGUCUCAUGAUCUCUGCAGGGAUUUGGGGAGAGGGAAUAGCGGAGGAAGGAAAGCGAUCAGAGUAACAAGGAUGGAGAGCCAGCCGGAAGGGCCCUUGGAGAGGGAUGCCUCCAUCUCCAUCCCCAUUCUGUGGCCAAGAAGGGACGUGACUGGGCCCAAACCACAGAGGUGGUAACAGAAGAAUCUAGAAGCUAGUCCCCAGUCUGUCUUUUCUGUCUUCCCUCUCUCAACAAUCGGAAACAUUCUCAUCAUUUACUCAAUGCAGAUGACUCUGGUGUCUAGCUCUGACCACUCCCCACCGUGCCAGACCAGUAUCUCCAGCUAUUCAUUGGUGAGCUCCACCGGAAUGUUUCACCACUGAAAUUAUAACAUGUUCCUCGCUGAAUUCAUCCUCUGCUUUCCCCCACAACAAUGGCCAGUGACCAACAAUAUGCCAGAAUGAAAUGUCCCCAUACCCCAGAGGGGAAGACUGAGGUACAAACCCUGAACCUUGGGGGCUGAAAAAUAAACUAAAAAAAGAAUCAUGGAACAAUGGGGGAAAUUAAAAAUUAAAUAAAAUUAUAAAGA